rnacentral:misc_RNA from 1 species
AAGUCGUAACAAGGUUUCCGUAGGUGAACCUGCGGAAGGAUCAUUAACACGUAUCCAAACGUUAAAACCCCCCCCGUGAACUUUCAAUCCUGCUCUUGUAACCCGCGUAGUUCCGCAAUCUCUGGUAAAUCAUAGCCCGGAAAGUUGUUUUGAUUCAGAGACCUCUGCCUACGUGAGAAAAAUGGAACAGUUACUUCCACGAUUCCUGUAGACCGUACACUCGGGCAGGAGCUAUGCCAAAGGGUCCCCAUGCCCCCUUACAACCCCACAGUUUAAUGUAAAGCUCAAUGUAAUACAUUGGGUAAAAAAACCGAACAACUGUUAACAAUGGAUAUCUUGGUUCUC